ACAAAAACAUGUCUGUAUGAAGGUGUAUACAGUUUAGCCUGCUCACUGAUAAAUUUAAAGAGCCGCAGUAUAUUGACUGUGCGAAGGUAGCAUAAUAGAUUGUCUCUUAAUUGGAGGCUUGAAUGAACGGUUGGACAAAGUAUCUUCUGUUUCUUAAGUAAAUAUUGAAUUUGACUUUUAAGUGAAAAGGCUUAAAUAAACCAAAAAGACGAUAAGACCCUAUAAAUCUUUACAAAAAAUAUAUUUUAAAUUUUAAUUUAGAUGUUUUUAAAAUAUAAAGUAUAUUUUUGUUAUGCUGGGGCGGCAUAGAUAUAUUAUUCAACUGUUUAUAAAUUUAAGUCAAUUAAUUAUUGUUUUAAAUUUUUGAUCCUUUAUUAAGAUUAAAAGAAUAAGAUACUUUAGGGAUAACAGCGUUAUUUUUUCUGAGAGUUCUUAUCGAAGAAAAAGUUUGCGACCUCGAUGUUGAAUUAAAGUUUCUCUGUGGUGCAGCAGUUACAGAAGAGAGUCUGUUCGACUCUUAAUCCUUUACAUGAUUUGAGUUCAGACCGGCGUGAGCCAGGAGGUUUUCUAUCAUAA
rnacentral:rRNA from 1 species